CUCCGUCCCGCGGAAAAUGUCGCGACCCCCGUUUUGCAAAAACGCCAUCCUAGUUUCUCCGACCAAACCUGCAGUCCUCCGCAUCAUCUCCUUCCCCUCCGCGCGUCCCCUUCCCCUCCCUCCGCCGCUCCGUCGCCGGCUCGCCACUCCAUAGGCGGCCACCCCGCCGUCGCCCGCGCCGCGGAGCUCCGCGCCUCCUCCCGCUCUAUUCCCCGCUUAGUUCCUGCGCUCCCUCCUCCACUCCACCGCGCCUCCAUCCACUCCCCCGUAGCUAAAUAUCGACUAUUUCUCCCGCGAUUCGGACGGUCGGCGUACUCCGGCGGUUCGGCACCAGAUAAAGGUGGAGCGGCUUCGCUUAGGAGAAGAGGCGCUCGAUCUGGAGUUCAUGGCGACGAGGGAGGCGAUGAGCUGGUGCUGUGGUGCUGGGUGCGACGAGGCGGACGAAGCUUCCACCUUUUUCCUCCAUGGUCGACGGCGGCGCAGCAGUGGGUGGUGGCGACGCGGCUUGGAGAACGUCCGGCCCUCUUUCCCGUCGUUCCCAAUCUCAUUGGUAUGCUACAGCAAUCAACGGUUUCUCUCUCUGGUGUCUCUGUUCGUGAACUUGGGCGGCGACUGAGCAUAUGGUGCUGUGAACGUGAUUGGCCGGCGGCGGCGGUCACACGGCCUCCAUCGCGCCUCCUCUUGGCCGCACGGUGAACAGGCCAGCAGGGACUCACGCUUGUGGACUCGCGGUCGCAAUUGCAGGCUGCCGGGUGCCGGCCCCUCAUCUCUCCGGUCUCCGGCCAUCCGACGAACUCUUUCCCUGCCUUCAAGUUUCAGGGCACCAAAGCAUCAGGCAUCAAGGAGGAGACACCAUCUUCCUCAAAACCUACAUCAAAUGCCACUGUUUCCUCAAAAAGUUCCCGUGCCUGUAUCUCCUAUGAGGACUGUUCAUCUUGCUGUGGCUCCAGUCACUACACAAGAUUUAGUAUCCAGAUUUAAGUCUACACUACGAGUCAAAAGGUAGGCUUCUUCAGCUUUACUGUUUUACAAUUUAAAGCUGUGACAUUGUAUUGUACUCCUACUCUGAAUAAUUAAUGUUAACCGUAUACAUUAGCUAGUUCUAUCAUAUUGUAUUGACGCUGUUUACUUGACACUGAUUUAGUGAAGACAGGAAUGAAGCAUAUUGUUUCCUUGCUGGCUGGCUCUCCGCCAUGCUGCCGCCACGGGCAAUGCUGCUACAAUCUGAGCUUUUGGAUGUCAGCAUAUAAAAGACAACAUUACUUGCUUUGAUUUGUUCCACAAUGUACUUGGUAGCGUUGAUAUCUUUGCACAUUUUCUUUCUUUCUGCAGAAAUGUAGUGUAGGGUGGCAAGAUUGCAAAUUUUCUGAGCUCUGCACAGUUUUCAGUAGAAACAUUUUCUGUAUUUUUUGUUUGUUUUAAUGGUAGAAGGAACCUCUAGGAGACAUGUGAAAGGACUGAAGAGUAACAUAAAACGAGAACAGUCAUCUACUCUUUAGGAACGAGAUAUUACUGGUGUGCUAAUGUCUAGAGUUUGAUUUCUCAUUACUCUGUUCAAUAUGCAAUUGACAUUAGCUGCAAAUUUCAGUUCACAUGGCUGGACUAGCUUCGCUGGUGAAGAAAUAUUGUGGUGGUUGCAAGAGAUAUGUUGACCAUAUGGAUAAAAACAUAAAAUGUUUCCGUAGGCAUAUGGCUGCUGAUUUUAGACAUGGCAUGGUGCCCAUUAUAAUUUCUGUGUCUCAAUGUGCCCAAAAUUUUUUUGUUCACAAAGUUUAACAUGCAUGAUCUCAAUAACCAUCGAACUAGAAUCUCCUAAUGGCGAUAUGCAUCCUAUUGAGGUUUCAAGCAUACGAGUAAGACAGUCCUCCGCCGUGGAUGGGAUGCAUUUAUAGAUGUUGACAGGCUGUGGCAGACCUCGAACCUUCCCAGACGUAGCCCAGGCGGGCGAGCUCAAGGAUGAAGCCCAGGCGAACGAGCUGACGGACGCAGUCGGAGGAGGGCCCUAAGGGCGAGUCGGGCGGAGGAGGCGGCAGGGGGCAGGCCAAGUCGGGCAGGGGCUCCUCUGCGCCCCACCAGCUCGGGGAGCCCAUGCGGCAGAGUUCCGCGUCCUCCGCUAGGGAGCAGCCGGCGGUGGAGAUGCGGCCGGAUGCGAGGAACGGCGAGGACGGCCAGGGAGGAGAAGAACAGAACUUGGAUUUCAGAUCUGAAGGUUCAAAACGGAGAAGAACUGAGUAUCUGGGGGGUUUUCUGUAAAAGUUAGAAUGACUAGCCGCUCCGACAUUUUCCACGGGACGGAGGGAGU